UGUUGCUCGGCGUAAUGGUAAUCUGAACAAGGCAUAUUAAUAGCUUCCUUUUGUAGAUAAUUUAUCAAUUCUAGGGUGUCCUUGAUUCCGACGAAGAAGAUGAAGUAACAAGGAUGACUAGGACGCUUUGAGGAAAUUUUGCAGUUGAUGAUAAUGAAGAUUUGCAGCCAUUAAAUCCUAUUGAUGAAGCUAAUGAGGAAGAUGGUGAAGGGUUCAAUGAUGACUUUAUGGAUAUGUAAUUUUAGUUUCUAACUUUGGAGAGGGAUGAGUUAGGAUUUGAGAUUUGUGGACUAUGUUAUUUUGUGUUACAUCCUCUUUUAUUUAUAUUCAGACUUUGGAAUAUUUUCUUUUACUUUUA